UACGAAGGGGGCGAGCGUUGUUCGGAAUUACUGGGCGUAAAGGGCGCGUAGGCGGCCCUCUUUGUCGCGUGUGAAAGCCCCGGGCUCAACCUUUGGACGCAUUGGAAACUGGGCAACUGGAGUGUAGGAGAGGAAAGUGGAAUUCCACGUGUAGCGGUGAAAUGCGUAGAGAUGUGGAGGAACACCAGUGGCGAAGGCGACUUUCUGGCCUAUAACUGACGCUGAGGCGCGAAAGCGUGGGGAGCAAACAGG
rnacentral:rRNA from 1 species